rnacentral:rRNA from 1 species
AGGUAAGCUACUAAGAGCGAAUGGUGGAUGCCUUGACUGGUAAAGGCGAUGAAGGACGUACUAGACUGCGAUAAGCUACGGGGAGCUGUCAAGAAGCUUUGAUCCGUAGAUUUCCGAAUGGGGCAACCCAAUGUAUAGAGAUAUACAUUACCUAUAUAGGAGCGAACGAGGGGAAUUGAAACAUCUUAGUACCCUCAGGAAAAGAAAUCAAUAGAGAUUGCGUCAGUAGCGGCGAGCGAAAGCGCAAGAGGGCAAACCCAGUGCUUGCACUGGGGGUUGUAGGACUGCAAUGUGCAAGAGGUGAGUUUAGCAGAACAUUCUGGAAAGUAUAGCCAUAGAGGGUGAUAGUCCCGUAUGCGAAAAACAAACCUUAGCUAGCAGUAUCCUGAGUAGGGCGGGACACGAGAAAUCCUGUCUGAAGCUGGGUCGACCACGAUCCAACCCUAAAUACUAAUACCAGAUCGAUAGUGCACAAGUACCGUGAGGGAAAGGUGAAAAGAACUGAGGUGAUCAGAGUGAAAUAGAACCUGAAACCAUUUGCUUACAAUCAUUCAGAGCCCUAUGUAGCAAUACAGGGUGAUGGACUGCCUUUUGCAUAAUGAGCCUGCGAGUUGUGGUGUCUGGCAAGGUUAAGCAAACGCGAAGCCGUAGCGAAAGCGAGUCUGAAUAGGGCGCUUAGUCAGAUGCUGCAGACCCGAAACGAAGUGAUCUAUCCAUGAGCAAGUUGAAGCUAGUGUAAGAACUAGUGGAGGACUGAACCCAUAGGCGUUGAAAAGCCCCGGGAUGACUUGUGGAUAGGGGUGAAAGGCCAAUCAAACUUCGUGAUAGCUGGUUCUCUCCGAAAUAUAUUUAGGUAUAGCGUUGUGUCGUAAUAUAAGGGGGUAGAGCACUGAAUGGGCUAGGGCAUACACCAAUGUACCAAACCCUAUCAAACUCCGAAUACCUUAUAUGUAAUCACAGCAGUCAGGCGGCGAGUGAUAAAAUCCGUCGUCAAGAGGGAAACAACCCAGACUACCAGCUAAGGUCCCUAAAUCUUACUUAAGUGGAAAACGAUGUGAAGUUACUUAAACAACCAGGAGGUUGGCUUAGAAGCAGCCAUCCUUUAAAGAAAGCGUAAUAGCUCACUGGUCUAGUGAUUUUGCGCGGAAAAUAUAACGGGGCUAAAGUAAGUACCGAAGCUGUAGACUUGCGCACAACUUAGAUUAUUUAAGUUUAGAAUAUGAGAAACUAAGUUAUAUGUUUAGUUAUAUUUUUACUGAUUUUUAUAGAGUAAAGAUAGAAAUAAAACUUAGUAAAAUCAGUAAAAAUAUUCUUAGACUAAAGUUAAGUAGUUUAAGUUGUGUGCAAGUGGUAGGAGAGCGUUC